rnacentral:tRNA from 1 species
AAACUUAGGCUAGCACAGACCAAAGGCCUUCAAAGCCUUAAGCGGAGGUUAAACUCCUUCAGUUCUGUAG